rnacentral:rRNA from 1 species
GUGUCAGCAGCCGCGGUAAGACGAAGGAUGCAAGCGUUAUCCGGAUUCAUUGGGUUUAAAGGGUGCGUAGGCGGCCUGAUAAGUCAGUGGUGAAAUCUCCUCGCUUAACGAGGAAACUGCCAUUGAUACUGUCGGGCUUGAGUACAGAUGCUGUGGGCGGAAUAUGACAUGUAGUGGUGAAAUACAUAGAGAUGUCAUAGAACACCGAUUGCGAAGGCAGCUCACAAAACUGUAACUGACGCUGAGGCACGAAAGUGCGGGGAUCAAACAGGAUUAGAAACCCGCGUAGUCC